UAUCAACGUAUACGCAUUUUACUGUGCUGUUAUGUACAAGUAUGUGCAUAUGUGUAAACUGGUAUAAUGUGUCUAGAUAUCUUUCGGGUAAUAAUCUAAAUAUAUUUAUUCCGAUAGAAGGCUCAGCAACUGUGAAUUAGAUUUGUUCAGCAGGAUACAAACGCGUGCCUCGCAAAUUUUAUAUAUCUUUAAUCAUAUGGCUUGCCACUGAUAUUUUACAUCAUAAAUAUUAACUUGAAGAAAUACGUAUUAUUUUAAGCGUAUAUUGUAUUACGAAAUACAUGGCUGCAUUAAAAAGCAAUAAUAGACACACACCGUCCCAUUUAUAUACACGCAUGCACAUAAACACGCACGCACAUAUACAUACAUAUCUGACUUUCCACGACAAAGCAUCUUUAGUUUUCCGUUGUGUGACUGGUGUGCGAAACAUAACUUUUAAAAACGCAUUUCAUUAAAGUAUAAGUUUAAAGAAAUUUGAAACGAUAACCUUUUCAAGAUAUCAUGCUAACUCUAGAAAUACAAUGAUAUGCAGUCAUAGUUGCUAUACAUGCAGACUACAGUGAUUUAGAAAUUAGCAUCUUUCUAAAUGUUGCAAGAUCAUUUGUACACAAAGUUCGGUUGGAAUUGGAGGCAUGUGAUGGUAAUGUUUGACCUGUAUCAAAGAGAAAUGAACAUUCAGAACGUUCAGACACUAAAAGGACACCGGAAUUUAUACCAUAUGUCCAAAACGUUAUCGAUGAAAAUCGCAGAAAAUCAAUGAGGUCCAUUGCUAAAGAACUUCGGGUCCAUUCCGUGGAAUUUCCAUGGGUUCCCCGCUUUAUCUUUUACUUGCUUCCGUCAUCAGCCUUCCGGAUAGCUGAGAAACUGUCUAUAAGAAUUUCGGUCAAAUGAAUCGACAUAAUUCCUUGUU